GACGAACGCUGGCGGCGUGCUUAACACAUGCAAGUCGAACGGAAAGGCCCUGCUUUUGUGGGGUGCUCGAGUGGCGAACGGGUGAGUAACACGUGAGUAACCUGCCCUUGACUUUGGGAUAACUUCAGGAAACUGGGGCUAAUACCGGAUAGGAGCUCCUGCUGCAUGGUGGGGGUUGGAAAGUUUCGGCGGUUGGGGAUGGACUCGCGGCUUAUCAGCUUGUUGGUGGGGUAGUGGCUUACCAAGGCUUUGACGGGUAGCCGGCCUGAGAGGGUGACCGGCCACAUUGGGACUGAGAUACGGCCCAGACUCCUACGGGAGGCAGCAGUGUGGAAUAUUGCACAAUGGGCGGAAGCCUGAUGCAGCAACGCCGCGUGCGGGAUGACGGCCUUCGGGUUGGAAACCGCUUUCGCCUGUGACGAAGCGUGAGUGACGGUAAUGGGUAAAGAAGCACCGGCUAACUAUGUG
rnacentral:rRNA from 1 species